CGUGAAUACGUGUAUGUGCAUUUAUAUAUAUAUAUAUAUAUAUAUAUAUAUAUAUAUAUAUAUAUAUAUAUAUAUACUAGCAAAAAUGCCCGUGCGUUGCAACGGAUAAGAAAGAAAUUUGAGAGUUCGUAUGGUAUUCGCAUAAGGAUCCACUUUAUGAAGGUCCCAUUGUAUUCCAAAAGCUCGUAAUCUUCUUCUCUGCUAAUAAAGCCCACUAAUUCAACUCGCUCUAAAGAAGUUGAAUUAUGUGUAACAAAAUGUUGAUAUUCAAUAUCCUGUGUCAAAAUAUUAUAGAAAUCUAAACGUUUAUUCCUUCAGUGCGACGGUAAUUGUACAUCAUCCGCAUACCUUUAGCAGCUUGAAAUAGAUGAUAUAUUAAGUCCUAUAUCUCGCAAUCCCAGCUAUUGUGAGGGGCGAAACAGAACGCGAGCAAGAUGCAUCGUUGUUGCACUCUCCUUACUCUUCAUCCCUCCCUAUCUCACCAACGACAUCGAUGACAUUCAAAGUUCUGGUCAGCAAGUACUGGUGAGCCUCAAAUAUCUUAUUCCUUAAGAAAUAUUUCUUUCCAAUAUUUAAUUCACUCUUAAUUAUUACAUUUGAUAAUGUGAAAACAACAUCAAGUAACAAACAACAAGUAAUAAUAAUAGGUGUUCAUCCGAUUUCUUUUAAUCAGUGCUAGCACGUAUAACCAUCCAACAGAACUCAGUGCAAUUUCUUUUCAUAGUGUUGGUCCGAACCAACUGAUUUUUCUCUUUUUUGAGCAUUACUGAUUUUUCUUUGACAUUAAGCGCACACCGUGACUCGCCCCGCUGGCUCGACUCGCAGCACACGUGUCAACUUAACUUGCCACGUGCUUCAUGGGACCCACGCACCACCCAUUAGCAACAGCAAGCCCCACUUCUUCUUAUCCUCAAGAACCGAGGCCGCUGGUCCCUCCUCCUCUGCUCUCCAUCCACCUCACAUCACCACCCAUCUCCUCUUCCUAUCUCCAGCACGCCCCGCCCCCGCGAACUCGCUGCCCGUGCUCCGGAUCAGGCCGAUCCCGCGCCACUCAUCCUCGCGCGCCAGCGUCUCGGCCAGCGGCGGCACACCUCCGGGCUACUACGCCACACAUCCAGCCUAGCAUCCACCGCCGGUCUGCAUCUGCAUCCCUCUUUUCUCAUCCCGUGCUUCCACGGAUACUCAUCUCGUUCUAUGCUUGUAGGCCGAUGUGAAGCCAGUCGCUGACACGCCGUUGCAGACCACCAGAUCCGGAGUGCCGCCGCUGGAUCCUGUCCGCGUCACGCCCGUGUGAAUGGCGGCCGUCGGAACACCCUCUCCUUCUCGAGGACUCCGGUUCUCUUCGUUGCCUUCCCAUCAGAUGGGUUGUUUCUUUUUUUGCCUCUGAUUCUCGUGAGAAUCUGAGGGACUCGCCCGCGGAUCUUUAUUCACUCCUCAUUGUUCUCUCCCAUGUAUUUGCAGUAUGUUCGUUGUUUUUUGAGAAGUCUGAUUGAUAUUACGGAUAAUCUGCAAUUGUAUAUAAACUAAUGAGAAUCAGUUCAGAGGAGCGAUGUGGGACAAAAAAUCGAACGUAAACGCACGACCAGAUAGAGUUUGCGUGCGUGAUGGCUGGGCUGAAAUUCUGUUGAGGUGACAGCGGGUUGAAUACCAAACAAUAUAGGGUCCGUUUUGUAAAACUGAAGCGUUUUCUUAGAUAACAACUUGAAAAGGGAGUGCGGGUUAAUUUCUCAAAAAUGGGGGGACUUUUCUGCAAAACGGCCGGCGACGUACGACCGGAAGCAGUCGCUGCUUUAUUAGUAGGGAGGGAAGAGGGAAGAUAUAUAUAUACACACACAUCACCUUCACUACAGUCAAUGUAGCAGGAUACUAUUCUAAAAACGUCCAUCGAUCACAUCUGAGCGCAGACAUGGGGAGGGGAAGCUGAGAUCAAGCUACCGCCGCACGCCGGCCGGUCCAACACAAUACCCGCGAGCGAGAGCGACCAGAAUUUCAAACUCGCGCCGCAUCGCGCUCCCUCCCUACGACCCUACCCAAACCAAGAUCGAACGGGCAUCACCUGCAUGCGCUCGGGUCGAUCAUCCGUCACACGGCCUCGAACUCCCUCCCAUGUGGUCAGCCGGCAGUGGUGUAGCCCGCCGUGGGGACGUCGGUCACGACCGACUCCGAGUCUUCCGCCACCUUCUUGCUUCCCUGAAAC
rnacentral:lncRNA from 1 species